rnacentral:rRNA from 1 species
UCUCCGGGGGUAGAGCACUGUUUCGGCUAGGGGGCCAUCCCGGCUUACCAACCCGAUGCAAACUGCGAAUACCGGAGAAUGUUAUCACGGGAGACACACGGCGGGUGCUAACGUCCGUCGUGAAGAGGGAAACAACCCAGACCGCCAGCUAAGGUCCCAAAGUCAUGGUUAAGUGGGAAACGAUGUGGGAAGGCCCAGACAGCCAGGAUGUUGGCUUAGAAGCAGCCAUCAUUUAAAGAAAGCGUAAUAGCUCACUGGUCGAGUCGGCCUGCGCGGAAGAUGUAACGGGGCUAAACCAUGCACCGAAGCUGCGGCAGCGACACUUUAGUGUUGUUGGGUA